rnacentral:sRNA from 1 species
CUGACGGUUUUUUGACCAGCGACCCUGUUGUUUGCGUGUGAAUUAGCCGGCAAGCUGAAAAAAAUGUGCUUGGCUUGCGCAAGGUCAGUUUACUUACUACAAGUUAUGGGUAGUAUGUACGCCGGCUAAUUUCCCAAGCUCGGGGAA